UCGGCGCCCGCACUCGGAGUUGCUGCUGCUGGCAGGCAUGAGUGUUAUUAUAGUGAGCGGCGUUGCCGGUCCAUUGCACUGAGCCAAUGGCAGGGAGCCACUGGGCUGAUACUGAGAGCUGUCAGAGGAGUACAUCUGUCACCCGCUGCCUCCCCCGCCCUCCCCCGCCGCCGCCGGGACCCACGGCCGCGCCGGUCGGGGCGCGAGGGGGAGCGCGCAGCGAGCGGGACGCCCCCCGCUCAACGCCGCGGCCGCAGAGGGCCGGGGACACGACGGCCACCGCGGGCGGGCGGCACAGCGGCCCGCGACCGAGAAGCGGGAGACUCCUCUAAGGUCAAGAUUUCAAGACAGUACAUUCCGGGUGUCCUAUAUAAAGGAUUUUAGAGAGCAGUGACUCUGCAAACUGCAAUAUGGUCCUUAAAUAAUCUGCCCGUUUAAUUUCACUCUUUGACAGAAGAAGAGAGAAAGAGUUUUUACAAGAGAAGCAGUAAUCAUCUGCAAUUUCCUCUUCAAUCUUUCCCCCUCUACAAUUGUGGCUCAAAUCAAGAUCCCCUGUCUUCUGUGCUUGUACUGAUUUGCCGCACUCCCUGUUCGUCAUCUUGCUUUACUUAACUUAAAUCUGGGCACCCGGUUUCUGCUCAGCAGCUGAGCGUUGUUCCUGACCUGCUCCUGGUUCACACAAGAUUUCAGGACAACAUUGUUGCAAUUGAAUGGAAAAACAAGGUUCUGUCUCCUUUCCCAGACCAGUAGCUGGACACCUACAUCGUGAAUCCCAGCCCUUAUUCACUCUGUCCAGUUCUUCUAUAGGAGAGUAAAUAUUCCCUGACUUUGCCUACUGCUAUUUGAGACCAUUGAUGCUAUCUUCGCGUGCCUGGACUUCCUACUUCCUGUCAUUACAAUCUCUGGAUGCUUUUACUCUGUCUGUCUGGAUAACUUCCCAUCACUAAAGUGAAAGACCCACAAGUUAGGUGGACUUCUGAGUGCCAGCAACUCAGCCUUACCUGAGCUUCUGUGAACCAAGUUCCUGUUCCUGUCAUCCUGGGAAAACAAAAAAAAAGCACAUCCCAAUGUUUUUCAAAUGCGUCUGUGAUAUAUUCUUAGUAGUUGCAGAAUAUAUUACUGGGAUUUAAAACUUUCCUUUUCAAUACUAUCAUAAUCUUAACAUAAUAAGAGUAUUCUUGAUCAUUUGUAAAACCGUAUAAUAUAAUGGUAAUUUGCAACUACGUUCUGACACUAUAUAUCUCUUGUGUUUGCGUUCAUGUUUGUGAUCACAUUGUUAUCAAGUAUUACAGCUUUUAUUCUUUCAGACUAAUGAAAAAUCCAGGAACUUAAUACAGAGGUUUUGUUUAUUCUAAGAUGCAUCACCAUAGAGCAUCCAUAUUCACCAUAAUCGUCAGACAUGCUUAGAUCAGCAGUGACACACAAAUACUCACAAACAAAUUCAUGUUUUGAGAUAGGAUUUGGUUUCAGCAAAACAACAUCAUCUGUUGUAUUAAAUUAAGAUUAUAAACUUGGGUGUUUUGUUGUAUUUUUAUUUUAUUUCUAUUUUUUUGUUCUGUAUUUACAUAAGAGAUAUAAGCGUAUGGGGUUUUAUAAUUGGUUUGAUGUUAACAUAUUUAAGUAAAAUCAUGCCACAGAUGAACUUAAUCUAUGCUAGGGAAUCUUUAAAAUGGAUCUAUAUGUUAUUCAAGUAUGAGAAACACUGGUACAAACUAGCCAUGGGGGGCCAGCCCCAUGGCCUAGUAGUUAAGUUCGGCAUGCUCCACUUUGGGGGCCCAGGUUCAAUUCCCA